rnacentral:lncRNA from 1 species
CUGAGAAUGCUUCUGUCUAGAUUUUAUAUGUAUAUAUUCCCGUUUCCAACGAAAUCCUCUAAGCUAUCCAAAUAUCCACUUGCAGAUUCCGCAAAAAGAGUGUUUCAAAACUGCUCUGUCAAAAGAAAGGUUCAACUCUGUUAGUUGAGUACACACAUCACAAACAAGUUUCUGAGAAUGCUUCUGUCUCGUUUUUAUGGGAAGAUAUUUCCUUUUUCACCAAAGUCGUCAAAGCGCUCCAAAUGUCCACUUCCAGAUACUACAAAAAGAAUGUUUCAAACCUGCUCCAUGAAAGGGAAUGUUCAACUCUGUGACUUGAAUGCCGAUAUCACAAAGUAGUUUCUGAGAGUGCUUCUGUCUAGAUUUUAUAUGAAGAUAUUCUCAUUUCCAAUGAAAUCGUUAGAGCUAUCCAAAUAUCCACUUGCAGAUUCUACAAAAAGAGUGUUUCCAAACUGCUGUAUCAAAAGAAAGGUUGAACUUUGUUAGUUGAGGACACACAUUACAAAGAAGUUUCUGAGAAUGCUUCUGUCUAGAUUUUAUAUGAAGAUUUUCCCGUUUCCAAUGAAAUCCUUAAAGCUAUCCCAAUAUCCACCUGUAGAUUCUACAAAAAGAGUGUUUCAAAACUGCUCUGUAAAAAGAAUGGUUCAACUCUGUUAGUUGAGGACACACAUCACAAACAAGUUUCUGAGAAUGCUUCUGUCUAGUUUUUGUGGGAAGAUAUUUCCUUUUUCACUGUAGGCAUCAAAGCGCUCCAAAUGUCCACAUUCAGAUACUACAAAAAGAGUGUUUCAAACCUGCUCGAUGAAAGGGAAUGUUCAACUCUGUGACUUGAAUGCAGACAUCACAAAGCAGUUUCUGAGAAUGUUUCUGUCUAGAUUUUAUAUGAAGAUACUCCCGUUUCCAAUGAAAUCCACAAAGCUAUCCAAAUAUCCACUUGCAGAUUCUACAGAAAGCGUGUUUCCAAACUGCUCUGUCAAACGAAAUGUUCAACUCCGUUAGUUGAGGACACACAUCAGAAACAAGUUUCUGCGAAUGCUUCUGUGUAGUUUUUAUGGGAAGAUAUUUCCUUUUCCACCAUAGGCCUGAAAGCGCUCGAAAUGUCCACUUCCAGAUACUACAGAAAGAGUGUUUCAAACCUGCUCUAUGAAAGGGAAUGUUUUAUAUUUGUAUGUA